AGAGUGGCGAACGGGUGAGUAAUGCGUGACCGACCUGCCCCAUACACCGGAAUAGCUCCUGGAAACGGGUGGUAAUGCCGGAUGCUCCAGUUGAUCGCAUGGUCUUCUGGGAAAGCUUUCGCGGUAUGGGAGUGGGGUCGCGUCCUAUCAGCUUGACGGCGGGGUAACGGCCCACCGUGGCUUCGACGGGUAGCCGGCCUGAGAGGGCGACCGGCCACAUUGGGACUGAGAUACGGCCCAGACUCCUACGGGAGGCAGCAUG
rnacentral:rRNA from 1 species